rnacentral:rRNA from 1 species
UGGGGAAUAUUGCGCAAUGGGGGGAACCCUGACGCAGCCAUGCCGCGUGAAUGAAGAAGGCCUUAGGGUUGUAAAGUUCUUUCGGUAUUGAGGAAGGUUGAUGUGUUAAUAGCACAUCAAAUUGACGUUAAAUACAGAAGAAGCACCGGCUAACUCCGUGCCAGCAGCCGCGGUAAUACGGAGGGUGCGAGCGUUAAUCGGAAUAACUGGGCGUAAAGGGCACGCAGGCGGUUAUUUAAGUGAGGUGUGAAAGCCCCGGGCUUAACCUGGGAAUUGCAUUUCAGACUGGGUAACUAGAGUACUUUAGGGAGGGGUAGAAUUCCACGUGUAGCGGUGAAAUGCGCAGAGAUGUGGAGGAAUACCGAAGGCGAAGGCAGCCCCUUGGGAAUGUACUGACGCUCAUGUGCGAAAGCGUGGGGAGCAAACAGGAUUAGAUACCCUGGUAGUCCACGCUGUAAACGCUGUCGAUUUGGGGGUUGGGGUUUAACUCUGGCGCCCGUAGCUAACGUGAUAAAUCGACCGCCUGGGGAGUACGGCCGCAAGGUUA